UACGUAGGGCGCAAGCGUUGUCCGGAAUUAUUGGGCGUAAAGAGCUCGUAGGCGGCUUGUCACGUCGGGUGUGAAAGCCCGGGGCUUAACCCCGGGUCUGCAUUCGAUACGGGCUAGCUAGAGUGUGGUAGGGGAGAUCGGAAUUCCUGGUGCAGCGGUGAAAUGCGCAGAUAUCAGGAGGAACACCGGUGGCGAAGGCGGAUCUCUGGGCCAUUACUGACGCUGAGGAGCGAAAGCGUGGGGAGCGAACAGG
rnacentral:rRNA from 1 species